UCUGGGGCUAGCUUGGGACUCAAGACAGACAUGAUUUCUGCCUUCCUGGAACUUGGAGUUAACAGUAAUUCUUUUUUAAAAAAUCACAUUUUUGAUUAUAUAACUGCAAACUGUAAGACUGCUAGGAAAUAAGGAUACAUAUAAUCAGAGGCAUAUAGCAGCAGCACUAACAGAGUUGACGGUGGAGAGGCUUCCCUGAGCAAGGGGUGUUUGAGGAUUCCCCACUACAUCCUUUCUACUCAAAGUGUGGUUCAAGGACCUGUAGCAUUGGAGUCUUCUGGGAACUGUUUAGAAACACAGAAUCUCAGACCCCACCCCAGACCUACGAACCCAGAAUCUGCAUUUUCACAAGGUCUCCAGUUCUCCUGGCUUUGCCUCCUCCAAGCUUCUAUUCCAUCCUUCCUUGGAGGCGAGACGGCACACAAC